rnacentral:sRNA from 1 species
AGGUGUUGCAAAAUCCCAGUAAGAUACGUUUGUAAAAACUGUGGGUAUGAGUUAUAUAGGUUUGAAAAGGUAGGGCAAGACUUUUACGGUGUAAGAACUCCUUCAGAAAUAAAGUCAAUAUAUGGUGGAAAAUGUCCAAAAUGUGGACAUCCGCUAGGAGUGCCAUCUCUAAGCGAAAUUAAAAUAACGUUAAGAAAGAAAGCAAUUUUAGCUACUUCUUAGUUCUUUAAUAAAAUUAAUAAUUUCUUCGAAUUCUAUUUCAUUUCUUUUAUAUUUUUCUCC